rnacentral:rRNA from 1 species
AGCGAACGCUGGCGGCAGGCCUAACACAUGCAAGUCGAACGGCAGCACAGUAAGAGCUUGCUCUUACGGGUGGCGGAUGGCGGACGGAUCAGGUAUGCAACGGACUCUACUUUUUCGUGGGGGUUAAGGUAAGGAGACUUAAGCUAAUAUAGCAUCCCCCCUACGGGGGAAAGCGGGGGAUAUUCGGACCUUGCGCGGUUGAACGAGCGGCUGUUGGAUUAGUUAGUUGGCGGGGUAAUGGCCAACGAAGUGGCCGAUCGGUAGCCGGCCGGAGAGGAUGAUCGGCGACACUGGAACGGAGACACGGUCCAGACUCCUACGGGAGGCAGCAGUGUGGAAUAGUGGGCAAUGGGCGCAAGCCUGAUCCAGCCAUACCGCGUGGGUGAAGAAGGCCUUCGGGGUGUAAAGCCCUUUUGUUGGGAAAGAAAAGCAGCAGGUUAAUACCCCGCUGUACUGACGGUACCCAAAGAAGAAGCACCGGCUAACUUCGUG